rnacentral:rRNA from 1 species
AUGGCGCGGCUCCCCCUCCUGGUCCUGGCCGUCUCGCUCGCCGUGCUGGCGUCGCCGGCGUCGUCCAAACGUGUUCGGUCGGUGCUCGCUCCGGUCACCAAGGACCCCGCCACCCGCCUCUACACCAUCCCAUUCCACUACGGCGCCAACAUCGUGGUCGACACCGCCGGACCGCUCGUCUGGUCCACGUGCGCACCCGACCACCUGCCGGCGGCGUUCCCGUGCAAGAGCGCCACCUGCAGGCUCGCGAACAAGUACCACGUCCCGAGCUGCAGCGAGAGCGCGGCUGACAAGCUCUGCGACCACAGUCACAAGGUGUGCAGGGCCUUCCCGUACAACCCGGUCACCGGCGCGUGCGCGGCCGGGGACCUGAUCCACACCAGGUUCGUCGCCAACACCACCGACGGGAAAAACCCGGUGAGCCAGGUGAACGUUCGGGCCGUGGCGGCGUGCGCGCCAAGCAAACUCCUCGAGUCGCUGCCGCAGGGCGCCUCGGGCGUGGCGGGGCUCGCGGGCUCCGACCUGGCGCUGCCGGCGCAGGUGGCGUCCGAGCAGAAGGUCUCCAACAAGUUCCUCCUCUGCCUCCCUCGCGGCCUCUCAAGCGACCCCGGCGUGGCCGUCUUCGGCGGCGGCCCGCUCCACUUCAUGGCGCAGCCGGAGAGGGACUACACGAAGGAGCUGGCCUACACGCCGCUCGUCGCCAAGAAGGGCAACCCCGCGCACUACAUCUCGAUCAAGUCCAUCGCCGUGGAGAGCGCCCGCGUGCCCGUCCCGGCGCAGGCGCUCGCCACCGGUGGGGCGGUGCUCUGCACGAGGUCGCCCUUCACCCUGCUCCGCUCCGACGUGUUCCUCCCGUUGGUGGACGCGUUCACCAAGGCCCUGGCGAAGCAGGGUGCGCAGGGCGGGCCCGUGGCGAAAGCGGUGAAGCCCUACGCGCCGUUCCAGCUGUGCUACGACACGCGGACGCUGGCCAACACGCGGACCGGGUACCUGGUGCCGGCCGUGACGCUGACGCUGGGCGGCGGGAAGAACUGGAGGAUGGACGGGUUGAGCUUGAUGGUGGACAUGGGGCCCACGACGGCGUGCCUGGCGUUCGUGCAGAUGCAGGGGGUGAAGGGCGGGGACGGAAGCGCGCCGUCAGUGCUCAUCGGAGGGUUCCAGAUGGAGAACACCGUGCUGGAGUUCGACAUGAAGAAGAAGCGGCUCGGCUUCGCCAGGCUGCCGUCCUUCACGCAGUGCAGCCACUUCAAUUUCACCACUCGCAGCGCCUAG